rnacentral:rRNA from 1 species
AGAGUUUGAUCCUGGCUCAGGAUGAACGCUAGCUACAGGCUUAACACAUGCAAGUCGAGGGGCAGCGGGAUUGAAGCUUGCUUCAAUUGCCGGCGACCGGCGCACGGGUGAGUAACGCGUAUCCAACCUUCCGUACACUCAGGGAUAGCCUUUCGAAAGAAAGAUUAAUACCUGAUGGUAUGAUGAGAUUGCAUGAUAGCAUCAUUAAAGAUUCAUCGGUGUACGAUGGGGAUGCGUUCCAUUAGGUAGUAGGCGGGGUAACGGCCCACCUAGCCUACGAUGGAUAGGGGUUCUGAGAGGAAGGUCCCCCACAUUGGAACUGAGACACGGUCCAAACUCCUACGGGAGGCAGCAGUGAGGAAUAUUGGUCAAUGGACGAGAGUCUGAACCAGCCAAGUAGCGUGAAGGAUGACUGCCCUAUGGGUUGUAAACUUCUUUUAUAAAGGAAUAAAGUCGGGUAUGUAUACCCGUUUGCAUGUACUUUAUGAAUAAGGAUCGGCUAACUCCGUGCCAGCAGCCGCGGUAAUACGGAGGAUCCGAGCGUUAUCCGGAUUUAUUGGGUUUAAAGGGAGCGUAGGCGGACGCUUAAGUCAGUUGUGAAAGUUUGCGGCUCAACCGUAAAAUUGCAGUUGAUACUGGAUAUCUUGAGUGCAGUUGAGGCAGGCGGAAUUCGUGGUGUAGCGGUGAAAUGCUUAGAUAUCACGAAGAACUCCGAUUGCGAAGGCAGCACACUAAGCCGUAACUGACGUUCAUGCUCGAAAGUGUGGGUAUCAAACAGGAUUAGAUACCCUGGUAGUCCACACGGUAAACGAUGGAUACUCGCUGUUGGCGAUAUACGGUCAGCGGCUUAGCGAAAGCGUUAAGUAUCCCACCUGGGGAGUACGCCGGCAACGGUGAAACUCAAAGGAAUUGACGGGGGCC